rnacentral:rRNA from 1 species
AUCCCUACGGGGGGCAGCAGUGGGGAAUAUUGGUCAAUGGGCGGAAGCCUGAACCAGCCAAGUCGCGUGAGGGAAUAAGGCCCUACGGGUCGUAAACCUCUUUUGCCGGGGAGCAAGGGCGGGGACGUGUCCCGGCCCGGAGAGUACCCGGAGAAAAAGCAUCGGCUAACUCCGUGCCAGCAGCCGCGGUAAUACGGAGGAUGCGAGCGUUAUCCGGAUUUAUUGGGUUUAAAGGGUGCGUAGGCGGGCUUUUAAGGCAGCGGUAAAAAUUCGGGGCUCAACCCCGCCCGGCCGUUGAAACUGGG